UUACGGCCACAUCCCGUUGAAACAUCUGUUCCCGUACGAUCACCAAAGAUAAGCAACGUCGAGCCUGGUCAGUACUUAGACGGGUGACCGCUUUGAAAUAUCACGUGCUGUAAG